GAUGAACGCUGGCGGCGUGCCUAAUACAUGCAAGUCGAGCGAACUAUUGGGAGCUUGCUCCCAAAAGUUAGCGGCGGACGGGUGAGUAACACGUGGGUAACCUGCCUGUAAGACUGGGAUAACUUCGGGAAACCGGAGCUAAUACAGGAUAACAUAGAAGAAAACAUGGCCUUCAAUUAAAAGAGGGCUAUUAGCUACCACUUACAGAUGGACCCGCGGCGCAUUAGCUAGUUGGUGAGGUAACGGCUCACCAAGGCGACGAUGCGUAGCCGGCCUGAGAGGGUGAUCGGCCACACUGGGACUGAGACACGGCCCAGACUCCUACGGGAGGCAGCAGUAGGGAAUCUUCCGCAAUGGACGAAAGUCUGACGGAGCAACGCCGCGUGAGCGAAGAAGGCCUUCGGGUCGUAAAGCUCUGUUGUUAGGGAAGAACAAGUAUCGUUCUAAUAGGGCGGUACCUUGACGGUACCUACCCAGAAAGCCACGGCUAACUACGUG
rnacentral:rRNA from 1 species